rnacentral:lncRNA from 1 species
CAAGAAUGUAAGGCUGAGCAAAGCAAUUAGACAUUGAAAUUCCACCAAGACAGUGUUAAAAGAAUUGUGUUCAGUUCUGCACUCCACACUGGAAGAGUAGUGAGAUUAAAGGAAGCCGCCACAGAGAAGGGCCAUCAAGCUCCAGAUGAUCCUCAGUGAGGGAUACCGCUCUCUCAGUAUUCAAGAGUCACCCUUCCACAGAGAAGCCCUAGACUGCCCAUCAGUGGAAUAUGAGAGAGAGCCAGAGCCUUCAGACCAAGACAAUCGAACAUCCCUGGAUAUCUGAGAUAGCCAGCCUUUCUUCUGGAGAGCUUCCCAGGUAACCAGCAUCCGAAACCCCAGCUGCUGUCUCCAUGGUGAUCAGGAUACCCCCUGUGAUGAAGUCUUGCUCUGUCGCCCAGACUAGAUUGCAGUGAUGUGUUCUCGGCUCACUGCAACCUCCGCUACCUGGGUUUAAGCGACUCUCCUGCCUCAGCUUCCAGAGUAGCUGGGACUACAGGUGAAAAUACACUCUUCAGGAGGAAUUAUUUUUUG